AACAUGAUGAUUGGAGUACCUGUGAUUUGUGAUUAACAACUCUAUGUAAUAAAGGCUUGAAGAAACUUAGUCUC
rnacentral:snoRNA from 1 species